rnacentral:rRNA from 1 species
UCGAGAAUUUUCCGCAAUGGGCGCAAGCCUGACGGAGCGACGCCGCGUGGAGGAAGAAGGCCUUCGGGUUGUAAACUCCUGUCGAGACUUAAGAAUGCAUCGGACAUAACAAUCCGGUGUCGACGAAGGGUCUGGAGGAAGCCACAGCUAACUUCGUGCCAGCAGCUGCGGUAAGACGAAGGUGGCAAGCGUUGUUCGGAUUCACUGGGCAUAAAGGGCGCGUAGGCGGUUCGGUAAGCGGCGUGUGAAAGCCCCUGGCUCAACCAGGGAAGUGCACGCCGGACUGCCGUUCUAGAGGGUGGUAGGGGGGACUGGAACUCUCGGUGGAGCGGUGAAAUGCGUAGAUAUCGAGAGGAACACCGGUGGCGAAGGCGAGUCCCUGGUCCACUUCUGACGCUGAGGCGCGAAAGCGUGGGUAGCAAACAGG